GACGAACGCUGGCGGCGUGCCUAAUACAUGCAAGUAGGACGCAGUUGCGAACGGGUGAGUAACGCGUAGGUAACUACCUAUUAGAGGGGGAUAACUAUUGGAAACGAUAGCUAAUACCGCAUACUAGUAGAUGGACCUGCGUUGUAUUAGCUAGUAGGUAGGGUAAUGGCCUACCUAGGCAACGAUACAUAGCCGACUUGUGAGGGUGAUCGGCCAACAUGGGACUGAGCAAAGGCCCAGACCCCGUCGGGAGGGAGAAGUAGGUAAUCUUCGGCAAUGGGGCGAAACCUUAACGAGCAACGCCGCGGGAGGGAAGAAGGUUUUCGGAUCGGAAAGCUCUGUUGUUAAGGAAGCGGUACUUAACCAGAAAGGGACGGCUAACUACGUGCCAGCAGCCGCGGUAAUUC
rnacentral:rRNA from 1 species